rnacentral:rRNA from 1 species
AUACGUAGGGUGCAAGCGUUAAUCGGAAUUACUGGGCGUAAAGCGUGCGCAGGCGGUUUUGUAAGACAGAGGUGAAAUCCCCGGGCUCAACCUGGGAAAUGCCUUUGUGACUGAAAGGCUAGAGUACGGCAGAGGGGGAUGGAAUUCCGCGAGUAGCAGGGAAAUGCGUAGAUAUGCGGAGGAACACCGAUGGCGAAGGCAAUCCCCUGGGCCUGUACUGACGCUCAUGCACGAAAGCGUGGGGAGCAAACAGGAUUAGAUACCCUGGUAGUCCACGCCCUAAACGAUGUCAACUGGUUGUUGGGUCUUCAUUGACUCAGUAACGAAGCUAACGCGUGAAGUUGACCGCCUGGGGAGUAUGGCCGCAAGGUUGAAACUCAAAUGAAUUGACGGGG